rnacentral:piRNA from 1 species
AUGUUUCUAGGUGGCAUUCAAACUU